AAUACGUACAAAAGUGCGAAACGUUAUAUCGGAAGACGAGAAAAAAUUCGCAUAUCAGCGUAAUAGUUAACUGUCAAUACUCCAUUUCAACAUAUUCACCGUUCCUGUCAAUCUGAAGUUAUCCACGCAUAAAAUCCCAAUGGUGUAAAAUUGAAGAUCCAAGUAUCCUUCUCUUUGUAUUUCGCACGCUUGUUGUAACUUUCAACGAAUUUUUUAAUCAUCUACGUUCAAGUAACGUUUAUCGCUAAAUUACUAUAUCCAAUAGGAUAUGCUGAGAAUAAGUUGAGCUCUUAAAUCCUGGGACACCCGAU
rnacentral:misc_RNA from 1 species